rnacentral:rRNA from 1 species
UACGUAGGGGGCAAGCGUUGUCCGGAUUUAUUGGGCGUAAAGAGCGUGUAGGCGGCCAGGUAGGUCUGCUGUGAAAGUCCAGGGCUCAACCCUGGGAUGCCGGUGGAUACUGUCGGGCUCGAGUCCGGAAGAGGAGUGUGGAAUUCCUGGUGUAGCGGUGAAAUGCGCAGAUAUCAGGAGGAACACCAAUGGCGAAGGCAGCACUCUGGGACGUGACUGACGCUGAGACGCGAAAACGUGGGGAGCAAACAGG